GGAAUAUUGGUCAAUGGGCGCGAGCCUGAACCAGCCAAGUAGCGUGCAGGAUGACGGCCCUAUGGGUUGUAAACUGCUUUUAUGCGGGGAUAAAGUGCACCACGUGUGGUGUUUUGUAUGUACCGCAUGAAUAAGGACCGGCUAAUUCCGUGCCAGCAGCCGCGGUAAUACGGAAGGUCCGGGCGUUAUCCGGAUUUAUUGGGUUUAAAGGGAGCGCAGGCCGAAGGUUAAGCGUGACGUGAAAUGUACCGGCUCAACCGGUGACUUGCGUCGCGAACUGGCUUUCUUGAGUGAGUACGACGUCAGCGGAAUUCGUGGUGUAGCGGUGAAAUGCUUAGAUAUCACGAAGAACCCCGAUUGCGAAGGCAGCCAACAAGGCCUUUACUGACGCUAAAGCUCGAAGGUGCGGGUAUCGAACA
rnacentral:rRNA from 1 species